UACGUAGGUGGCAAGCGUUGUCCGGAUUUACUGGGCGUAAAGAGCGCGCAGGCGGUCGUUCAAGUCGCGUGUGAAAGCCCCCGGCUCAACUGGGGAGGGUCACGCGAUACUGCUCGACUCGAAGGCAGGAGAGGGUAGUGGAAUUCCCGGUGUAGUGGUGAAAUGCGUAGAUAUCGGGAGGAACACCAGUGGCGAAGGCGACUACCUGGCCUGUUCUUGACGCUGAGGCGCGAAAGCUAGGGGAGCAAACGGG
rnacentral:rRNA from 1 species